rfam:Parcubacteria (Nomurabacteria) bacterium GW2011_GWB1_40_7 TT13_C0025, whole genome shotgun sequence.
GCGUCGGUGGUAGAGCGGUCAAAUACUAGGGACUGUAAAUCCCUCGCCCUUUGGGCUACGAAGGUUCGAAUCCUUCCCGACGCA